rnacentral:tRNA from 1 species
GCUCCUGUAGCCCAAUUGGAAGAGGCGCUGGUCUUAGAAACCAGACGGUGUAGGUAUCUCCUUCGGAGACGCUACGCGAACAAAUCCUACCAGGAGUA